GAGGGGUGCAAACGUUGUUCGGAAUAACUGGGCGUAAAGGGUGUGUAGACGGUUUGUUAAGCUCGCUGUUAAAUUUCCUGGCCUAACCAGGAACCUGCGGUGGGAACUGGCAGACUAGAGGAUGGAAGAGAGAAGUGGAAUUCCCGGAGUAGCGGUAAAAUGCGUGGAUCUCGGGAGGAACAUCGAUGGCGUAGGCAGCUUCUUGGUCCAUUCCUGACGUUGAAACACGAAAGCGUGGGUAGCGAACAGGAUUAGAUACCCUGGGUAGUCCACGCCGUAAACGAUGAUCACUAGACGUAGGCUCGGCUUUGCUGGGUCUGUGUCGAAGCUAACGCGUUAAGUGAUCCGCCUGGGGAGUACGGCCGCAAGGUUA
rnacentral:rRNA from 1 species